rnacentral:rRNA from 1 species
GACGAACGCUGGCGGCGUGCCUAAUACAUGCAAGUAGAACGCUGAAGGAGGAGCUUGCUCUUCUGGAUGAGUUGCGAACGGGUGAGUAACGCGUAGGUAACCUGCCUGGUAGCGGGGGAUAACUAUUGGAAACGAUAGCUAAUACCGCAUAACAGUAGAUGUUGCAUGACAUUUACUUAAAAGGUGCAAUUGCAUCACUACCAGAUGGACCUGCGUUGUAUUAGCUAGUUGGUGGGGUAACGGCUCACCAAGGCGACGAUACAUAGCCGACCUGAGAGGGUGAUCGGCCACACUGGGACUGAGACACGGCCCAGACUCCUACGGGAGGCAGCAGUAGGGAAUCUUCGGCAAUGGACGGAAGUCUGACCGAGCAACGCCGCGUGAGUGAAGAAGGUUUUCGGAUCGUAAAGCUCUGUUGUAAGAGAAGAACGAGUGUGAGAGUGGAAAGUUCACACUGUGACGGUAGCUGACCAGAAAGGGACGGCUAACUACGUG